rnacentral:rRNA from 1 species
UUGACCUCGGAUCAGGUAGGAUACCCGCUGAACUUAAGCAUAUCAAUAAGCCGGAGGAA